rnacentral:lncRNA from 1 species
UGUGCCAAAUACGGCUAAGGUAAUCUACUCCUGGGGUAAGAAAAUCCUUAGUUUUUCGAAAAAUUCACAUUUUUGUAAACAGAAAAUUUAUAAAAAUGACCAUAUAAUUGAUAUUCAUGUCAACACCGAAGUGCUGACUACUGGGCUGGUGAUACCCUCGGGGACGAAACGUCCACCAGCAGUGGCAUCGACCCAGUGGUGUAAAUAGUUAUCAAAAGUACCAGGAUUAUAAUUUUAUACGCCAGACGUGCGUUUCGUCUACAUAAGACUCAUCAGUGACGCUCAGAUCAAAAUAGUUAAAAAGCCAAACAAAUACAAAGUUGAAGAGCAUUGAAGACCCAAAAUU